UGACGCCGGUUCCUCCUCCUGAGUGCAGUGUUUCAGGAGGAUUUUACGGCGUCACAGAGCGAUGGGGGUCUGUUUCACCCAGAGAGCUUCGGGCUGCUGCGGCCGCUCAGGAAACCGCUUCCUGGUUUUGCGAGACCCAACAAAC